GUGUUUCCCAUUUUCACACAACAAUCAGUCAAAUUCAUAUCAUAAAUAUAUAAUUCUUCACUCUACAUGUGUGUUAUAAAUCUAUCUUCGACUAGAAUUAGGCGGAGAAUACUCACAAACUACCUCAGUUUCCACUUCCCUUCUGUGGAAAUUCCUGUGGCAGCCGCAAGCAGCACACAUAAGGGCUCCGGUAGUACCUUCCUCUCCACUUGCCAUGAAUUCCCUGCAACCAUCCACAG
rnacentral:misc_RNA from 1 species